AUUGAACGCUGGCGGCAGGCUUAACACAUGCAAGUCGAGCGAGCGGCGGACGGGUGAGUAAUGUCUGGGAAACUGCCUGAUGGAGGGCGAUAACUACUGGAAACGGUAGCUACUACCGUAUACCAUCAGAUGUGCCCAGAUGGGAUUAGCUAGUAGGUGGGGUAAUGGCUCACCUAGGCGACGAUCCCUAGCUGGUCUGAGAGGAUGACCAGCCACACGGGAACUGAGACACGGUCCAGACUCCUACGGGAGGCAGCAGUGGGGAAUAUUGCACAAUGGGCGCAAGCCUGAUGCAGCCAUGCCGCGGGUAUGAAGAAGGCCUUAGGGUUGUAAAGUACUUUAAGCGGGGAGGCGUUACCCGCAGAAGAAGCACCGGCUAACUUCGUGCCAGCAGCCGCGGUAAUAC
rnacentral:rRNA from 1 species